rnacentral:rRNA from 1 species
GACAGAGGGUGCAAACGUUGUCCGGAAUUAUUGGGCGUAAAGAGCUCGUAGGCGGUCUGUCGCGUCGGCUGUGAAAUCCCGAGGCUCAACCUCGGGUCUGCAGUCGAUACGGGCAAACUAGAGUAUUGCAGGGGAGACUGGAAUUCCUGGUGUAGCGGUGAAAUGCGCAGAUAUCAGGAGGAACACCGAUGGCGAAGGCAGGUCUCUGGGGCCGAUAACUG